rnacentral:rRNA from 1 species
AACGAACGCUGGCGGCGCGCCUAAUACAUGCAAGUCGAGCGAGAAGACGUAGCAAUACGUUUGUAAAGCGGCGAACGGGUGAGGAAUACAUGGGUAACCUACCCUCGAGUGGGGAAUAACUAGCCGAAAGGUUAGCUAAUACCGCGUACGCUUCUUGGACCUCGGUUCAGGGAGGAAAGCGAUACCGUGGGUAUCGCGCUCUUGGAUGGGCUCAUGUCCUAUCAGCUUGUUGGGAGGUAACGGCUCACCAAGGCUUCGACGGGUAGCUGGUCUGAGAGGACGAUCAGCCACACUGGCACUGCGACACGGGCCAGACUCCUACGGGAGGCAGCAGUAAGGAAUAUUGCGCAAUGGGCGAAAGCCUGACGCAGCGACGCCGCGUGGGGGAUGAAGGUCUUCGGAUUGUAAACCCCUUUCGGGAGGGAAGAUGGAA